UACGUAGGCAGCAAGCGUUGUUCGGAGUUACUGGGCGUAAAGGGUGUGUAGGCGGUUUUUUAAGUUUGGUGUGAAAUCUCCCGGCUCAACUGGGAGGGUGCGCCGAAUACUGAAAGACUAGAGUGCGGGAGAGGAAAGUGGAAUUCCUGGUGUAGCGGUGAAAUGCGUAGAUAUCAGGAGGAACACCGGUGGUGUAGACGGCUUUCUGGACCGUAACUGACGCUGAGACACGAAAGCGUGGGUAGCAAACGGG
rnacentral:rRNA from 1 species